AAAAACCCAAGGCGGGUUCCGCCCCUCGCACCGGGGAGGCUGGAGAGGAACGGCCCACGGAGCUACCACCGCCCUUCGCGCCGUCUUCGCUGACAUCAUGCUCCAGUUCCUGGUUGGAUUUACAUUUGGCAACCUGGUUGGAAUGUAUCUGGCUCAAAAUUAUGACAUGCCAAACCUGGCU